UACGGGGGGGGGCAAGCGUUGUUCGGAAUUACUGGGCGUAAAGGGUGCGUAGGCGGCGCGGUAAGUCGGGUGUGAAAUCUCGGAGCUUAACUCCGAAACUGCAUUCGAUACUGCCGUGCUUGAGGACUGGAGAGGAGACUGGAAUUUACGGUGUAGCGGUGAAAUGCGUAGAUAUCGUAAGGAAGACCAGUGGCGAAGGCGGGUCUCUGGACAGUUCCUGACGCUGAGGCACGAAGGCCAGGGGAGCAAACGGG
rnacentral:rRNA from 1 species